rnacentral:rRNA from 1 species
AUUGAACGCUGGCGGAAUGCUUUACACAUGCAAGUCGAACGGUAGAGGGGGCAACCCCUUGAGAGUGGCGAACGGGUGAGUAAUAUAUCGGAACGUGCCCAGUCGUGGGGGAUAACGUAGCGAAAGUUACGCUAAUACCGCAUACGAUCUAAGGAUGAAAGCGGGGGACCGUAAGGCCUCGCGCGAUUGGAGCGGCCGAUAUCAGAUUAGGUAGUUGGUGGGGUAAAGGCUCACCAAGCCAACGAUCUGUAGCUGGUCUGAGAGGACGACCAGCCACACUGGAACUGAGACACGGUCCAGACUCCUACGGGAGGCAGCAGUGGGGAAUUUUGGACAAUGGACGCAAGUCUGAUCCAGCCAUUCCGCGUGCAGGAUGAAGGCCUCGGGUUGUAACUGCUUUGUACGGAACGAAAAGGUUUCUAUUAAUACUAGGAGCUCAUGACGGUACCGUAAGAAUAAGCACCGGCUAACUACGUG